AUUGAACGCUGGCGGCAGGCCUAACACAUGCAAGUCGAACGAGUGGCGGACGGGUGAGUAAUGUCUGGGAAAAUGCCCGAUGGAGGGGGAUAACUACUGGCAACGGUAGCUAAUACCGCAUACCAUCGGAGGUGCCCCGAUGGGAUUAGCUAGUAGGUGGGGUAACGGCUCACCUAGGCGACGAUCCCUAGCUGGUCUGAGAGGAUGACCAGCCAAACUGGAACUGAGACACGGUCCAGACUCCUACGGGAGGCAGUAGGGGGGAAUGUUGGACAAUGGGCGCAAGCCUGAUGCAGCCAUGCCGCGUGUAUGAAGAAGGCCUUAGGGUUGUAAAGUACUUUCAGCGGGGAGGCGUUACCCGCAGAAGAAGCACCGGCUAACUCCGUGCCAGCAGCCGCGGUAAUAC
rnacentral:rRNA from 1 species